AACGAACGCUGGCGGCAUGCCUAACACAUGCAAGUCGAACGAGACCUUCGGGUCUAGUGGCGCACGGGUGCGUAACGCGUGGGAACCUGCCCUUAGGUUCGGAAUAACUCCCCGAAAGGGGUGCUAAUACCGGAUAAUGUCUUCGGACCAAAGAUUUAUCGCCUUUGGAUGGGCCCGCGUUGGAUUAGCUAGUUGGUAGGGUAAAAGCCUACCAAGGCGACGAUCCAUAGCUGGUCUGAGAGGAUGAUCAGCCACACUGGGACUGAGACACGGCCCAGACUCCUACGGGAGGCAGCAGUGGGGAAUAUUGGACCAUGGGCGAAAGCCUGAUCCAGCAAUGCCGCGUGAGUGAUGAAGGCCUUAGUGUUGUAAAGCUCUUUUACCCGGGAUGAUAAUGACAGUACCGGGAGAAUAAGCUCCGGCUAACUCCGUG
rnacentral:rRNA from 1 species